rnacentral:misc_RNA from 1 species
GAUGAAGAACGUAGUGAAAUGCGAUAAGUAAUGUGAAUUGCAGAAUUCAGUGAAUCAUCGAAUCUUUGAACGCACCUUGCGCCCCUUGGUUAUUCCAAAGGGCAUGCCUGUUUCAGUAUCAUGAACACCUCAACUCUUGUGGUUUCCCACAAUGAGCUUGGACUGUGGAGGUUUUGUUGGCCCUGUGGUCAGCUCCUCUCAAAUGGAUCAGCUUACCGGUGUUUGGUGGCAUUACGGGUGUGAUAACUAUCUACGCUCGUGGUCGUCUCCAAAUAACCUCCAGUGAUGGAGGUUCGCUGGAGCUUAUAAAUGUCUCUCCCCAGUGAAGACAGCCUUUGAACGUUCGAUCUCAAAUCAGGUAGGACUACCCGCUGAACUUAAGCAUAUCAAUAAGCGGAGGA